GAGACUCCGUCUCAAAAAAAAAAAAUAACAAAUAUACUAAAAUGUGAACAGUAAUUAUCUAGUGUAGAUGAUGGAAUUAGGAGUGCGAGGGUGUGUGUGUGUGUGUGUGUGUUUUUUUUUCCCCCUUUGUCCUGGUGCUACUAUCUGUUGUAAUUUCAAAAUAGGCUGGGUGCUGUGGCUUAUGCUUGUAAUCCCAGCACUUUGGGAGGCCAAGGUGGGCGGAUCACCUGAGGUCAGGAGUUUGAGACCAGCCUAGCCAUUAUGGCCAAACCCCAUAUCUACUAAAAAUACAAAAGUUAGCUGGGUGAGGUGGCGGGUGCCUGUAAUCCCAGCUACUUGGGAGGCUGAGGCAGGAGAAUCGCUUGAACCCAGGAGGCAGAGGUUGCAGUGAGCUGAGAUUGCGCCACUGCACCCCAGCCUGGGCAACAGAGUAAGACUCUGUCUCAAAACAAAACAACAACAACAAAAAAAGGAUUUAAAAAUAAAUUUGAUAAAUUGGAGUAGGAUAUUCUUAUUGAAACUCAUUAAUACAGUAGUAUUCUUGUGAAUAAGUUCAGUUUUAAUAGGAAAGCUACUAGAGAACUCUAAUGAAAUGUGUUUUCUUUUAAGGAAACUUACAUGCUUGCUGUAACUUUGGAUGAAUGGAAAAAGAAACUGGAAUCUCCCAACAGAGAAAUUAUUAUUUUACACAAUCCAAAGCUUAUGGUGCAUUACCAGCCAGUUGCAGGAUCUGAUGAUUGGGGUUCAGCACCCACGGAGCAGGGUCGACCAAGAACUGUGAAGAGAGGAGUUGAGAACAUCUCUGUUGACAUUCAUUGUGGAGAACCUUUACAAAUAGAUCACUUGGUUUUUGUAGUCCAUGGGAUUGGACCAGCUUGUGAUCUCCGCUUUCGAAGCAUUGUACAGUGUGGUAGGUUUGCAAAGCAUGUGAGAGAAUAUUAAUCAGUGCUCUUGUGAGCUGAGAUAAAGCCUUGUCUUUGGUCUGUUGUCUUAGCUGCAUAAGGUCUUAGCUGCAUAAGAGGAUUUAGAGAGUUAAAGACAGGUGGCAAGGUAGUAAAGCUUCUCAGCUUAGACCUGAAGUGCUAGGAAAUUCCUGGGGCUAAUAGUUUAUACUCUUAACUAACUUUAAUGAACAAGCAGUUAAUCCCUAUAAAAUUGUUUUAUGAUGUGAUAGUCCUAUUUCUAACCAUUUCAAAUUUAUUUCAAAUUUACAGGGAACAUAAAGAUGAUAGAGUUUAAUGAAUAACAGAAGCAUCAAUCAUUUUUGUAAUUCAUACUGUGAUAAACCUUUGAUAUUGUAAUUGGAGGAUUUAAGUCAUUAGUAUAACUAGAUUUUGAAAGGUGUCCUCUAGGCUGGGCGUAGUGGCUCACACCUGUAAUCCCAGCACUUUGGGAGGCCGAGGCGGGUCGAUCACGAGGUCAGGAGUUGAAGACCAGCCUGGCCAAGAUGGCAAAACCCCGUCUCUACUAAAAAUACAAAAAUUAGCUAGGCACGGUGGCAGGCACCUGUAAUCCCAGCUACUCGGGAGGCUGAGGCAACAGAAUCGCUUGAACUGGGAGGGUGGAGGUUUCAGUGAGCCAAGAUCGGGCCACUGCACUCCAGCUUGGGCAACAGAGUGACACUGUGUCUCAAAAAAAAAAAAAACAAAAAGUGUCUUCUAAAACCUGAUAGUAUUCAAAGUUUAAUUAUUCCAAUUAGGGUGUCUUAUUCUACUGGCUAAUGGUUCUAAACAUAAACUAGAAUUGUAUUGUGGAAGGUUGAGAUUGAUGUGAUACGAAUUUCAAACAACAGUGUAUUUUUUUUCUUUAAAGUAUUGGGUGGUGCUAUUUAUAAGAACCAGGAAGUUAGGAUAGGAAUUCAACUGCAAGACUGUUGUUGUAUUGUCAUGUGAUUAAAAAAAAAAAAAAAUUGUAACAGUUCCCAUGAUGCUGACGUUUUGAAGUUAGCCUUCUUUUUUUUCAUGUUCCUUUUUUUUUUGUUUUUAAAUAUACUAUUUUUUUUUUCCUGAGACAGAGUUUUGCUCUCUUGCCCAGGCUGGAGUGUAGUGACGUAAUCUCAGCUCACUGCAACCUCUGCCUCCUGGGUUCAAGUGAUUAUCCUGCCUCAGCCUCCUGAGUAGCUGGGAUUACAGGUGCACAUCACCAUGCCUGGCUAAUUUUUGUAUUGUUAGUAGAUGGGGUUUCACCAUGUUGGCCAGGCUGGUCUCAAACUCCCGGCCUCAUACGAUCCACCCACCUUGGCCCCCCAAAGUGCUGGGAUUACAGGCAUGAGCCACUGCUCUUGGCCUGAAGUUAGCCUUCUUUUGAUGAAAUAUUUUGUACGGUAAAAGCAAGUUGUUAGGCCAGGUGUGGUGGCUCACACCUGUAAUCCCAGCACUUUGGGAGGCCAAGGCAGGCAGAUCACCUAAGGUCAGGAGUUCAAGACGAGCCUGGCCAACAGGGCAAAACCCAUCUCUACUAAAAAUACAAAAAUUAGCUGGGUGUG
rnacentral:lncRNA from 10 species